rnacentral:rRNA from 1 species
UACGUAGGCAGCGAGCGUUGUUCGGAUUUACUGGGCGUAAAGAGUGCGUAGGCGGUUUUCUAAGUUUGGUGUGAAAUCUCCCGGCUUAACUGGGAGGGUGCGCCGAAGACUGGAAGGCUAGAGUAUGGGAGAGGUAAGCGGAAUUCCUGGUGUAGCGGUGAAAUGCGUAGAUAUCAGGAGGAACACCCGCGGUGUAGACGGCUUACUGGACCAUAACUGACGCUGAGGCACGAAAGCGUGGGUAGCAAACAGG